GAUACUCGUGCUUAUGUUUCAAUCCAACAGAAAGGGAUUAUAGUUGACUUAUUGUCAUGUGCAUAUUCAUUUUGUGUGUUUUUAGCUUCCUUUACCCACCUUGUGUCAUUUAGCCCCUUCUGAAACCUAGUUCAAUCUUAGGAUUUUUCAAACUUGAACUUCUUUCAUAAAAAAAUCUUGACUUUAAAAACACUUUAAGCAUAUCAAACUCUUUCUAUAUGACUAAAAAGCACAAAUCUCAUUCAAAACUUUUGCCACUUGGCUUUUCA
rnacentral:lncRNA from 1 species